UGACCUGAAGAAUGUAAUAAUCCUCUGUAGAUCUCUCACUUCCAGUGUGUUUUGUAUUUUGAAAGGAGUGUGUACUAAAAGCGGGAAAAGAGGCCUGGGAUGUGAGAUGGGGGAGAAAGGUCAUCAUCAGCCUUAAUCACAUCUGUGAUGCAAAUAUGGUUUUGGUUAAUACCUGAUUUGUGGGUGGAUUUGGGUGGAGAGGCUUUAAAAGUAGUCACAGAAGAAAACGAAAGUAAGUGUUGCCUCAUUCAGUGCUACCUGCUAUAACAAGCCCACUUCUUUAGUUGUAAAUAGUAGAUGCCGCCAUGAAACAUUUGGUUAUUUGAUGCAGCCAAUUAAAGCUGCUUAUUCUGCACUGAUGCAGCUUUCCAGCUGAUCUAGGAAAGCAACUACCAAAUAUGAGGAUUUUUCCUUCAGUCUUUCCCCUCCCCAUAUCAGGAUCCUGAAAUAUAAUCCUUGCCAGCCUUGGGAUUUUGGUAAACUUGAGUCCAAGCUGGGAAGGUAGGUAGAAAGGAGGACAGGGAGGUGGAUGGGGAAAAGGCUGCUAUAUUUAACCUCUUCUCCCCAGGUAACUCUGGUGUAGAUCUUUCUUCCAGUCUUCCCUAACAGAAGAGCCCUGGCCUCGGCAGUUCCUUUCCUGGGUGAGAGAGACACAUAAUGAGGCAGCAAAAUUUAAAAUUUCUCUGCUCAUUUGGCUGUGGGGAAGGAAGAAGCAUCUCACAUCCCCCUCUGGGUCUUUUCUAGAAACAGGUAAUGGGUAAUUCUAUACCUGUCUAUAGUUUUCUCUUGCCUGAUGCCAGCAAAAAAUUUGAACACAGUUUACUAUAGAUGUGGGAGUUGGGAUGCCCUGAGACUCAAGGGAGUGGGCAACUUCAGAACAUCUCCAGAUGUUCAUACCAGAGUAUAAGGUAUGCAAAACAUUCCCAACACUGAGUGUCAUGUUGCUAGCUCCUAUGCUACAUGGGGUGGAAACCUUGGAAUCCAAAGUAAGCUUAACUGUAACAUCACGGCAUCACCUAGCAUGGCUUUUAGGGUAUGUGAUUUUGUUUUCUUUCUUUUUUCAUUCCUUCACGCUGGCCCACAGCAAUGGAGAACUCCUCAACUACAGACAACCAAAUUAUCACCCUGCAACCUGAUGCCGGUAGCAUUUGUUUAACAUCUGAUAUAGAUACAAAUUUACUGCACACGGGAUUGUUUGGCAAGAGUUACAGUCUUCAGGCCUUGAAGAAAGUAUAUUAUUUCAUGAGCACUAGUACUCAGUAUGUUUGAGUCUCUAUUCCAGUAGCAAAGAAAACAGCUUUCAAAGACUCUUCCUUAUACAUGUUCUAACUUCUUUCCUUUCCACAGAGGAUGAUUGAAAUGGAUAGGCUGGGCAGGAACCUCUCUUGUUGUAACAUUUUUGGUGAUCAGAAAUUUAUUUUAAGGGCUCUUAACAGUUUCUCUUGGUUUAGGUGAGGAACAAUCCCCCAUGUUGGUGUUACUGUUGUUAUAUUUUUAUGUGAAUCAUAGACUCUUCUUUUGGGGCUGAAUUCCAUCUUGGAACUGGAAGUGGU